UCGCCAUUAGCGAGGUUGUGUUUGUGGUUGUAACUCACGAGAUCGUUCAAGGUGAAUCCAUCGUGCGAAGUGAUCAUGUUGAU
rnacentral:tRNA from 1 species